rnacentral:tRNA from 1 species
CCCUGGUUAGCUCAAUUGGUAGAGCGCUCCACUUGUAAUGGAGAGGUCCCGGGUUCGAUACCCCGACCAGGCG